GCCACUGUGGCGAAAGGAGGGGGCAACAGGGGUAAUGACGACGGCAGCCCCAGGCACCAGAUAGAGAGGGGCUCCCAGCUGCUCGUUCCCAAAGCCUGUCCCCAGGCCCCCAAGGCAGCAGAUCUUCCCAUCACCCUCACUUUGGAGUGGAGGAGGCUGAGAUGCAGACAGGACCGGGCAGAUCCCUGGACAGUGAGCUUCCUCUGAAGGGCACUUCCCCACCGGCCAUGUUUAUGAAGUGAUUGACUCCACAGCCCCAGAAAAAGGAUCUGGAAAUGAAAUAUUGACAAUCUAA